rnacentral:ncRNA from 1 species
UACUCCUUGAAAAGCUUGCCUUGUAAUUGAAACCAUUUUCCUGUGGAGCAACAAAAUUCUUGUUUCUCUGUGUUAAGCACACAGAAUAAAGAAUCAGGAUGAUGCCCCACAACAUUUGCCUAUGUAUUGGAAAGCCAUCCUGAGAUACAUGGAAGGAAAUCGUCAUCUAUCUGGCCCUAAGGGAUGAUGGAAAAAGAGAUAAAUGGAAAUAGAAACUGUGAGCAGUUUCUGCUCUCAACUGUAAAAUCAAUGUGGAAUUUUUGGCAGAUGGAGUGGUUCUAUUUUGUUGGGUUUUGGAACUGAGGUCAUAAUUAAACUGGGCACUUGGGGGCAUUGGUAUUGUGCCACUAAAUGUAAUUUCUUGCACCGGUGAAAGACAGACCAGAGGGAAAACAAUUGCCAAUAAUGUUUUCAUUAAUCAAGAAAGAAAGUCAGAGGUUCAAAGAUGAUCAGAAAGCAUCUUAGUUCUGACCACAAACAAUGCCAACUGGAGAUGCAGUUGUCUUAUUCCCAUGACCCUCCUGGGCAGCUUCCUGGAAACCUAAGUUUGUGGGUUUGGGGGGAGUAUGGUUGCAAAGCUGAAACUUAAAGGAAUUGAUGGAAGGGCACCACUAGGAGUGGAGCCUGCAGCUUAGUUUGACUCAACCUGGGAGACCUCACCUGGACCAGACAUAGACAGGAUUGACAUAUUGAUAGCUCUUUCUUGAAUCCGUGGGUGGUGGUGCAUGGCCAUUCUUAUUUGGUGGAGCGAUUUGUCUGGUCACUUCCAAUAAGGAAGGAGACUCUGGCAUGAUAACUAGUGAAGUGACCCCGGAGUGGUCAGCAUCCCCCAACUUCUUAGAGGGACAAGUGGCAUUCAGCCACCUGAGAUUGAGCAUUAACAGGUCUGUGAUGCCCUUAGAUGUCUGAGGCUGCAUGCACACUACACUGACUGGCUCAGCCUGUGCCUACUCUAUGCCAGCAUGAGUGAGUUACCCAUUGAACCCCAUUCAUGAUGGGGAUCAGGAAUUGCAAUUAUUCCCCAUGAAUGAGGAAUUCGAAGUAA